AGAGUUUGAUCCUGGCUCAGAACGAACGCUGGCGGCGUGGAUAAGACAUGCAAGUCGAACGAGAGAAUUGCUAGCUUGCUAAUAAUUCUCUAGUGGCGCACGGGUGAGUAACACGUGAGUAACCUGCCCCCGAGAGCGGGAUAGCCCUGGGAAACUGGGAUUAAUACCGCAUAGUAUCGAAAGAUUAAAGCAGCAAUGCGCUUGGGGAUGGGCUCGCGGCCUAUUAGUUAGUUGGUGAGGUAACGGCUCACCAAGGCGAUGACGGGUAGCCGGUCUGAGAGGAUGUCCGGCCACACUGGAACUGAGACACGGUCCAGACACCUACGGGUGGCAGCAGGCGAGAAUCAUUCACAAUGGGGGAAACCCUGAUGGUGCGACGCCGCGUGGGGGAAUGAAGGUCUUCGGAUUGUAAACCCCUGUCAUGUGGGAGCAAAUUAAAAAGAUAGUACCACAAGAGGAAGAGACGGCUAACUCUGUGCCAGCAGCCGCGGUAAUACAGAGGUCUCAAGCGUUGUUCGGAAUCACUGGGCGUAAAGCGUGCGUAGGCUGUUUCGUAAGUCGUGUGUGAAAGGCGCGGGCUCAACCCGCGGACGGCACAUGAUACUGCGAGACUAGAGUAAUGGAGGGGGAACCGGAAUUCUCGGUGUAGCAGUGAAAUGCGUAGAUAUCGAGAGGAACACUCGUGGCGAAGGCGGGUUCCUGGACAUUAACUGACGCUGAGGCACGAAGGCCAGGGGAGCGAAAGGGAUUAGAUACCCCUGUAGUCCUGGCAGUAAACGGUGCACGCUUGGUGUGCGGGGAAUCGACCCCCUGCGUGCCGGAGCUAACGCGUUAAGCGUGCCGCCUGGGGAGUACGGUCGCAAGAUUAAAACUCAAAGAAAUUGACGGGGACCCGCACAAGCGGUGGAGUAUGUGGCUUAAUUCGAUGCAACGCGAAGAACCUUACCUGGGCUUGACAUGUAAUGAACAACAUGUGAAAGCAUGCGACUCUUCGGAGGCGUUACACAGGUGCUGCAUGGCCGUCGUCAGCUCGUGUCGUGAGAUGUUUGGUUAAGUCCAGCAACGAGCGCAACCCCUGCUGCCAGUUACCAGCACGUGAAGGUGGGGACUCUGGCGAGACUGCCCAGAUCAACUGGGAGGAAGGUGGGGACGACGUCAGGUCAGUAUGGCCCUUAUGCCCAGGGCUGCACACGUACUACAAUGCCCAGUACAGAGGGGGCCGAAGCCGCGAGGCGGAGGAAAUCCUAAAAACUGGGCCCAGUUCGGACUGUAGGCUGCAACCCGCCUACACGAAGCCGGAAUCGCUAGCAAUGGCGCAUCAGCUACGGCGCCGUGAAUACGUUCCCGGGUCUUGCACUCACCGCCCGUCA
rnacentral:rRNA from 1 species